UUGACAGACUUGAUUUCAAGAAAUAAGAUGUAUCCUUUUAGAAGUAUCAAUUGAAUCCCAAAGAACAUGUCAAAUGAUACUUUCCAUCUUCAACAAUACUCUUCUUGGAAUAACAGUAUGAGAGAUUAAAUAGGAAGUGCAAAAAGAACUGAUUUAAUGAAAGUUACUCUACCCAUCAUAGAUAAAGCCCUCCACUUCCAGCCAUCCAAGUG
rnacentral:lncRNA from 1 species